GCUAUCUUUUUUUCUCUCCUCCUCCUUAAACUCCAAACCUCAGCCGAUAUUCUCGAUUCCCACACUUCAGUGCUGGCUGGAGAGAGCACUGGACCGUGGAGCGUGGAGCGGCAGAAGCCUCAGUCCUGGAUCAUUAGAGUUGCGGGCCACGGCUUGUGGGAUCUAGUGAUUUGGACAUAUUUUAUUUAACCAGCUUAGUAAAAGGCCAGGGCUUUGGACAGCACUCCGAUGCACGGUGGGCCUUCCUGAUCGGAAUCUGUUCUUUGCACUCCGCGGACCUCUCCUCUUCCCCGCCCCACACCUUCUGCCAUUCCAGCAGUGGGGUAUCCAGGGACCACUUGGUGAUGGAGGGCUCCAGAU
rnacentral:lncRNA from 1 species